UACGUAGGGUGCGAGCGUUAAUCGGAAUUACUGGGCGUAAAGCGUGCGCAGGCGGUUCGUUGUGUCGGCGGUGAAAGCCCCGGGCUCAACCUGGGAAUGGCCGUUGAAACUGGCGAACUGGAGUGUGGCAGAGGGGGGUGGAAUUCCGGGUGGAGUGGUGAAAUGCGUAGAGAUCCGGAGGAACACCAGAGGCGAAGGCGGCGCGCUGGGCUGCACCUGACGCUGAAACACGAAAGCCAGGGUAGCGAACGGG
rnacentral:rRNA from 1 species